GGUGCGAAACGCGGACAAAAAAUGAACAGGGGAUGAAAGAAAGUCACCAAACUUUUAAGGUGUCCACCUUGAUUAGGCUUGUUUACAAAACAUUGUAGCAUUCCAUGGCGAUAGGAGUACUAAGUAUUCGUUUUUGUAUUUUUUUGUUUCUCUGUGGCUUAUUCCUAUUGUUUUUUUCCUGACGGGCGCCAGUAUUUCGUGUUACCAAAUUGGAUGUUUCUUUUCAUUUUUUACAAGUUCAAGUAAAUUUGAUAAUUUUAUAAUUUUUCAUUGUUGGGCACGGAUAUGUGGUUGCAUUCCCUGUACAAGUGUAUGAUUUAAAUACUUAGGCAGAUCGAGAAAUGACAUAUUUUAAAAGCAAGUGUGUGCAUCUAGGUCAUCAGCCAAUCAAUUACUGAAUGAGGUUAAGCAAGAUAUGACGUACGAAUUAUCAAGUCGGACGUUAUCAACCGAAGCCGCGAAGGCUAAGUUAAUAACACAAACUGAGGACUUCAUAUUUCUUCAUAUCUCGCGGAAACUAAAUUCAAUAAAUGUUUCAUUAUUUAUUAAAAGAUCAAUGAAAACACAUCAGCACCUGUAGAUUCAAUCCAUCGAAAUAAUGACCAGUUCUUCUCCCAUAUGCAGAAAAUCUUUCCUUUCUUCUUUCUUUUGAUAUUCAUUUUUUAUAUUUUACAGUCAAAUCCGGUGUUCUGUUGCGGGCAACAUUGCAAUAUUGUCACGCAUUAUUGAUCGGCUGAUUGCUCUAGCAAAUUGUAACCGACGCGAAGUCGUGAACAAAUUGUAAUUUUUACGUCCAGUAACAGUAUUGAACCAUUAACUGCAAAAUUCAAACGUUCA